UACAGAGGUCUCAAGCGUUUGUUCGGAUUCAUUGGGCGUAAAGGGGUGUGUAGGUGGCGCCGUAAGUCGGGUGUGAAAUUUCGGAGCUUAACUCCGAAACUGCAUUCGAUACUGCGGUGCUUUGAGGACUGGAGAGGAGACUGGAAUUCAUGGUGUAGCAGUGAAAUGCGUAGAGAUCAUGAGGAAGACCAGUGGCGAAGGCGGGGUCUCUGGACAGUUCCUGACACUGAGACACGAAGGCCAGGGGGAGCAAAACGGGG
rnacentral:rRNA from 1 species